AGUGGAUAUCUGAGCUCACGUUGCUUCAUGCUGCCCACGCAGUCUCUGCUCAAAGCAGGCAACAAAGCCACAGAAGUCUAGGUUGGUAGUGCUUAAACUAAGUGCUAACGACUCAAGUUAUCAAAAUACAGACCAUGCACCAGAUGUAAGGCACCCUGAACAUCUUUUAAGAAAGAUUUUACUUUUAUUUUUAAUUAUGUGCAAGUGUGUCUAACCGUGUUUGUUGAAUGCAAUGCCCAAGGAUACCGGAAGAGGCUGUUGGAACCUCGGGAGACGGAGUUACAGGUGAGGAGAACUGAACUGCCUCUUGGGUCAUUUGCAAGAGCGAGUAAAGCGUGGGUGCUAACUGGAGCCGGGACACUUAGAGCAAGCUUGGACUUGGCUCCUCCAAGGAAGAGAUGAGGCUGUGAGCCUGGGUGUCUCGGUUACAGCUGCGCGCGAUGGUGGUGGCGGCUGAGAAUGCUCUAAAGCUCUCCUGGGAACACCGUGUUCUCUCUUGUCCCUUUGGUGAAUGGGUUCUCGGAGUUCCUGAGACACCGUGGAUAGAUCCCAUUGCACUCUGGUGCUGAGUGGAGCAUCGUCCCCUUCCAUUGAAGCUGGAACAAGAGGCUCGAAUCGUGUCCAGGAAGGCGGAGCUCCUUUGUUUCCUGCAAGACCAUGGAUUGGAAUGAACCUCGGUAAAUCAGUCAGCAAACAUCCACCCAGGCCAGGAAGACAACCCUCCAGCAAAUGCUUCUCUCCUCGCUCCCCGGGCUUACCUCUACCCGGAAGGACAAUGGACUCUGGUGUUCUGUGGUGAUAAAUAAGCUGCUGAAUGGCCCCUUCAUGGACUGGAGAGCAGUUCAGACAGAAAGACUGAUUCCAGGGAAGUCUUCCAGGCACCUGCUCCUACCAGAACAUCUCUUGUGAGGACUGACUGCCUGGUGGCUAUGUGAAGGAGAGGAGGUGGCCUUCAGCCCAGGGGUGUAAGACUGAGGGCAGAAACAGAACCCAAAUGUCUCAGGGAUCUUAAUUCUGGCUGCACAUUGGAGUUACCUGGAUGCUUAAAGAAUGUCACUGGGUCCUCAAGAUUCCUGUUCAGUUACUCUGGGGGUAUUGUUUAGGCAUCCCAUUGGAAAAGCCCCUGAAAUAAUUUUAUUUGAAGGCAAAAUUAAAAACUGCCGAUAUAG